rnacentral:sRNA from 1 species
AAAAAUGCGAUGAACCUUUUUCCCCAACC